CAAAGAUGCAAUGGCAAGAGAGCAGAAAUUAAAACAAGGUCAAUCAAAAAGACAUUUGAUUGAUAGAAUACAAGACAGUAUAAAACUUUGUGAAUAAAAUUGAGUGCGGGAUAGUGGCGGACGGGUGAGUAACGCGUGAAUAAUCUGCCCCAUACAGGGGGAUAGCCUCGGGAAACCGGGAUUAAAACCGCAUAACACUUUAUCACCGCAUGGUGAUGAAGUCAAAUCGAUUAAGAGGUAUGGGAUGAGUUCGCGUCUGAUUAGCUAGUUGGCGGGGUAAAGGCCCACCAAGGCGACGAUCAGUAGCCGGCCUGAGAGGGCGACCGGCCACACUGGAACUGAGACACGGUCCAGACUCCUACGGGAGGCAGCAGUGGGGAAUAUUGCACAAUGGGGGAAACCCUGAUGCAGCGACGCCGCGUGAGUGAAGAAGGUCUUCGGAUCGUAAAACUCUGUCCUUGGUGACGAAGGAAGUGACGGUAACCAAGGAGGAAGCCCCGGCUAACUACGUG
rnacentral:rRNA from 1 species